AAAUGACACAUAAUCACUUUAACAAAAUUAAAAAUAUGCCAGGUGUAGGACCUCUUAUUAGAUUCCAUGCCACCUGGAUAUUAGGGGGUUCUAUGAAGGAAUCUACAUAACAUAAGGGGGGUUUACAAAAAAUAUUUUUACAGGGGGUAAUCCUAAACUCGCUAACAUUACAGGGGGAAAAGUGUAUUUAACCCUUGAAUAUAU
rnacentral:lncRNA from 1 species